UCCCUCGCGGGUGCACCGCCGACCGACC
rnacentral:snRNA from 1 species